CAGUAGCCGCGGUAAUACGGAGGGGGCUAGCGUUGUUCGGAAUUACUGGGCGUAAAGCGCACGUAGGCGGCUUGGUAAGUUAGAGGUGAAAGCCCGGAGCUCAACUCCGGAAUUGCCUUUAAGACUGCCGAGCUAGUAGGUGAGAGAGGUAAGCGGAAUUCCGAGUGUAGAGGUGAAAUUCGUAGAUAUUCGGAAGAACACCAGUGGCGAAGGCGGCUUACUGGCUCAUUCUAGACGCUGAGGUGCGAAAGCGUGGGGAGCAAACAGGAUUAGAUACCCGCGUAGUCCCUGUCUCUUAUAC
rnacentral:rRNA from 1 species